GUAGAGUAGAUGUCGUGCGUAAAGUGUCAUAGGAUGGGAAGACUUCCUGUGAACGAAGGCAGUGCCGCGUCACGAGAUCGCUUCCGCUA
rnacentral:ncRNA from 1 species